rnacentral:rRNA from 1 species
CAGCAGCCGCGGUAAUACGUAGGUGGCAAGCGUUGUCCGGAAUUAUUGGGCGUAAAGCGCGCGCAGGCGGCCUAUCCAGUCUGUCUUAAAAGUUCGGGGCUCAACCCCGUGAUGGGAUGGAGACUAGUAGGCUAGAGUAUCGGAGAGGAAAGCGGAAUUCCUAGUGUAGCGGUGAAAUGCGUAGAUAUUAGGAAGAACACCAGUGGCGAAGGCGGCUUUCUGGACGAAAACUGACGCUGAGGCGCGAAAGCCAGGGGAGCGAACGGGAUUAGAUACCCCUGUAGUCCCUGUCUCUUAUACA